UUGAACGCUGGCGGAAUGCUUUACACAUGCAAGUCGAGCGGCAGCAUGGACUUCGGUCUGAUGGCGAGCGGCGAACGGGUGAGUAAUGUAUAGGAACAUACCUAGUAAUGGGGGAUAACGCCGAGAAAUCGGUGCUAAUACCGCAUACGCCCUGAGGGGGAAAGCGGGGGAUCUCGGACCUCGCGUUAUUAGAUUGGCCUAUAUCUGAUUAGCUAGUUGGUGAGGUAAAGGCUCACCAAGGCGACGAUCAGUAGCUGGUCUGAGAGGAUGAUCAGCCACACUGGUACUGAGACACGGACCAGACUCCUACGGGAGGCAGCAGUGAGGAAUAUUGCACAAUGGGGGAAACCCUGAUGCAGCAACGCCGCGUGGAGGAUGACGCAUUUCGGUG
rnacentral:rRNA from 1 species